UUGGAGGGCAAGUCUGGUGCCCGCAGCCGCGGUAAUUCCAGCUCCAAUAGCGUAUAUUAAAGUUGCUGCAGUUAAAAAGCUCGUAGUUGAAUUUCGGGAUCAAUGUUUCGGUCAUGCCGUUGGUAUGUACUGAUAUUAUUGAUUUCUCACCUUCUAAAGAACCGUAAUGCCAUUAAUUUGGUGUCACGGGGAAUUAGGACUGUUACCUUGAAAAAAUUAGAGUGUUUAAAGCAGGCUCACGCUUGAAUACAUUAGCAUGGAAUAAUGAAAUAGGACAUCCGAUUCUAUUUUGUUGGUUUCUAGGAUCGAUGUAAUGAUUAAUAGGGAUAGUUGGGGGCAUUAGUAUUCAAUUGUCAGAGGUGAAAUUCUUGGAUUUAUUGAAGACUAACUACUGCGAAAGCAUUUGCCAAGGAUGUUUUCAUUAAUCAAGAACGAGAGUUAGGGGAUCGAAGACGAUCAGAUACCGUCGUAGUCUUAACCAUAAACUAUGCCGACUAGGGAUCGGAUGAUGUUAAUUUUUUAAUGACUCAUUCGGCGCCUUACGGGAAACCAAAGUGUUUGGGUUC
rnacentral:rRNA from 1 species